ensembl:lncRNA FOXO6-AS1 FOXO6 antisense RNA 1
GUUCUAGGCUGCUUGGCCAAGCCAGAACUCCACUAUUGCCCUGCCUCCUGUUCUGUCCCCACCAUGGCUACAGAGGGCCCACAGGAUGGAUUCUGGGACAUGGACUCAUGGUUGCUGUACCAUCUUCUUAUUUAUUUAUAGCCAGAGAGGAGGAUUUCUUAUGUUGCCCACGUUGGUUUCAAACUCCUGACCUCAAGUGAUCUUCCUGCCUCGGCCUCCCAAAGUGCUGGGAUUACAGGUGUGAGCCAACUUGCCUGGCCAUCUCUGUGCCAUCUUCUUCUGAUCCUGGGCAGUGGGACUAGGGGAAGUUACCUUUUCUGGGGCACAUUUAGUGGUGUGCUGGCAAAUGUUUAACCACCAGCUCUUCUGGAAGUUAAAAAAAAAACCUACCUGA